CGAAGACUCUACUACAUUUUUAUGAUCCCAUGGUGAUCAUUGCCCACCCGAACAAGCUCGCACCAGAUGGUAUGGUUGGAGUUUCGGAGCUGGUUGAUAGAUGUUAUACGUCAACCAAGAAUGUGCUGAUUCUUGAUGACAUUCUGGGUUUUGAUAGUCUUCUUUCAAAUGUUCACCCUAACACUAAAUUGCGCAGGUUAUCAUGGCUCGUGGGUGCUUUGAUGAUACUAAGCUUUUCAUCAAUGUUUCAUAGGAGGCUGUGUUGGUUAAAAGUUUGGCUGCCAAGGAACCAUCUGCUCUUGCCUUGGAUACUUAUUACAAGCAGUAUUAUCUCUGUUUGGCUGCUGCUGCUACUACUAUCAAAUGGUAAUCCAAUUCUGCAUGCAUUUGAGUUCUACCUAUUUUUCUAUUCAUGUUGUAACUUCCACUCAAGAGCGUAUCUGAUAUAGAGUGGAUGAUCCCAACCAACAAUGAAUGAGAUUAACGCCUCCAAAAGAGGAAGAGUUGAUGAGUGUGUGCAUGUAGACAAUGAGUUGAGAAGUGUGUGCAGGGUUAGGCAUGCAGGACUCGAUACCGAGUCGGGUCGAGUUCGGGUUAGGUCGAUUUCAAAA